ensembl:snRNA U6 U6 spliceosomal RNA
GUGCUCACUUUGGCAGCACAUGUACUAAAAUUGGAACUAUACAGAGAAGACUAGCAUGGCCCCUGCGCAAGGAUGACAUGCAAAUUCGUGAAGUGUUCCGUAUUUAG